CGGCGCGCAAGCGCACUCCCUCUCUUAGAGGUCAUCGGCCGGUGGAAAUUUCCCCCCUCGGCCGUGGCGCACGUUACGGACGUUACGGGUUCAUGCGGUUCUUUUGUGCAGGUGAAGCGUUUUAGAGGAUCUUGAUGGAUGAGGGUGGAGGCCGGAGGCACGUUGCCGCAGCGAAUUUGAUCCACUGUUACGUAACCAUGUUGGAGCACCUUGUUUACCCAGACACACCGGUGCCAGUGGAACCGUCCCCGAUGGACGCCGAUGGAUGGAGCGGCGAAUCCGGCGAGGGCGCGUCCGUGGCUGCUGACCAAACGAAUUGCGACACGCUUCGUCCCAGAGGACGCCGCUCCUAUAACCGCACGUCCCAUCCAUAGCAGCAAACGUUAUUGGAAAGUGAUAGAAGUAAGAGAGCGUUGCUGAGGAGGGGUCUGCGGCCCCGCCGCCGUCUGGCCCCAGCGGGGUUUUCUUUUCCUCAAGGUUACGGACAAGCAGCUGGGGUAGGAAGGCAGAACGCCAGCUCCCCCCAUCCUGCAGUCCAUGCGGCUUCAGGUAGAUGUUCAGCUGGUGUUGCAAAACCGAAACCGAUUGUAAUCUGAGAACCGACGCCAACCCCAGAUGACUUACUGAGCCAAGGGUAAGGGAACCCAUCCAACCCUCCCAGAAGGCGACGCAUUGUUAGGGACUCACAGAUGACCCAUCUGCUACAGCUGAGAGUCCCUAACAACGUGUCACCUUCCGGGGGGUCGGAUGGCUUGAAUUUGCUUACACUGAUUUACCCGUUUAUACAGCUGGGUAAUUUUAUUAGAGCAAUUUGGGCUAAGUACCUUACUUAAGGGUACCGUAGCAGGAGGUGGAAUUUUACAGCCCCGUCCUUUGGGUCCAAGAGCAGCAACCCUAACCAUCAUGUAACCUGCUGUGCUUUUAGCACUUCUUAUGGAGACGACGAAAAAUGGAAAAACUACGGUAAUUGCAAAGUGAGCGUGGAAAACAAGGGGGAGGUGAAACAUUUUGUUUUUCAAUUUGCAAGCUUGUUAAUACGAACAUUUACAUUUGGACGGUUUAGUCUCAGUCCGCCGCGCAGGAAGCGCGGGAGCUCAUGAAUAAACUAACACAGCUGUUUGGCCCUUUUCA
rnacentral:lncRNA from 1 species